rnacentral:rRNA from 1 species
CAGUCGCCGCGGUAAUACGUAGGGUGCGAGCGUUAAUCGGAAUUACUGGGCGUAAAGCGUGCGCAGGCGGUUUUGUAAGACAGGCGUGAAAUCCCCGGGCUCAACCUGGGAAUGGCGCUUGUGACUGCAAAGCUAGAGUGCGGCAGAGGGGGAUGGAAUUCCGCGUGUAGCAGUGAAAUGCGUAGAUAUGCGAAGGAACACCGAUGGCGAAGGCAAUCCCCUGGGCCUGCACUGACGCUCAUGCACGAAAGCGUGGGGAGCAAACAGGAUUAGAUACCCGCGUAGUCCCUGUCUCUUAUAC